GACGAGAAUAAAUUACCAAGGUCCACUAUAUUAGCAAAGCUAUUGAGGUUUCUUUAAAAUGUCAUAGAACACCUCAAGAUAACAACAUUAAAGAGCGAGCAAAAUAAACCAACAGUUGGACGAGUAGCAUUACAGCUUCCAGAAACAAAUAAGUAAAUUGUUUAGGAAACUCUAUAUAGCGCUAGCAACAACGGAAAAGAAAGAAGUCGCAGCAAAAUAACAGGAUAGUCCAUAACUUUAGCUAUACAGGUCAUCAUCAUCGGCUCCAGCAUUAGAAGUUGUGAAGGGAUCAGAUGCAGCAGCUCCACCACUGGUCUCAGAAAACCGAAAUUCCGUUCCAAAACCUCGAGAUUGCUGUAAGGUCUGAGCAAAUGCCUGGUAUUUACGAAUAUCGGCAUCACUCACACUUCGUCGUGCAUACUUCAUGGACUCCUCAAAAUGAGCAGGCUUGAUCUCUGAUAUCUCAUCAUCAGCAUCCUCAUCCAUAGAAUCAGGAUUCUCUGCUCGCCUCUUUUCCUUUUCUAUAUCUUUCUCAAUAUUCUCCCUUAUGG
rnacentral:misc_RNA from 1 species